GUACUUACCUGGACGGGGUCAAUGGGCGAUCAAUAAGGUCCAUGGCCUAGGGUCGUAACCUCCAUUGCACUCCAAAGCCGGAGGGAAACUCACCUAAGGUUGGCCUAAAGUGGUUGAGCCUGCGUCAUAAUUUGUGGCAGCGGAGGCCUGCGUUCGCGCGGCCCCUAC